CAGAGUGGGAGACUACGGGAGAACAGUCAUUGAUUGUCAAUAACCACAUAAGUAAUUUGCACAUUUCUAUCUAAAGACCUGUCUCCUCUGAACUUCAAGUGCCCAGGUAAAGGCAUCUACUUACAUGGAUAAAAGCUGUGAUUCAAGAGAAGUACAGAAUAGAGCAGCCAGAGACUGGAGUGGACAUCCAUUUGGAACUGUCUGUAUCCUACAAGGUGCUACAGGCCUACUUGAGCAAGUAUUACAGAAUGUGGGUUGAGCAGAACCCAGGAGCUGAGGUUUUUGAAGAGGAUGGAGGCCAGCGGAGACCUGAAAAUAAGCUCUCCUUUACACAUGUUCUCCAGUCUCGUCAGGGCAUGUCGCUUCUCUCUGGGAAAGCCACUCAGCUAGCAUUUACUAUUUUGAGAUCAUGAUCCACUUUCCAACCUACCUCUAACCUCCAUACCCACCUCCCAAAGUAAUUUCUCCUUGUAAGAUCUUGACAGGAGUAUUAAAAAUUCAUAAAUGUA
rnacentral:lncRNA from 1 species